UAUAUACCAGAUUAUGAAUCAUUACUUUUAACUCUAACUUGUGUGGGCCCUGAUACGUAAAAAUUGUGUAAUCUUAGGUGCCGACUAUUACCUGUCUGAAGGUCACUUCACCUGUGUCCAGUUACAGUCCACUUCAUGACUUACUCCAGUACACACAGUCAAUCUGGGUUGCUUUGUUGUCUCCAAAUGUAAUAUGGCUAUAUUUUUAAUUUGGCUUUCAAGUAAAAUUCUUGCAUUUUGCAAUUAACAUAUGUCCAUAUUUGCCUUUUUGUAACCCGCAGUGUAUUCAGAAAAAACCC